rnacentral:rRNA from 1 species
GGAUGAACGCUGGCGGCGUGCCUACUACAUGCAAGUCGAGCGAACGGACGAGAAGCUUGCUUCUCUGAUGUUCGCGGCGGACGGGUGAGUAACACGUGGAUAACCUACCUAUAAGACUGGGAUAACUUCGGGAAACCGGAGCUAAUACCGGAUAAUAUUUUGAACCGCAUGGUUCAAAAGUGAAAGACGGUCUUGCUGUCACUUAUAGAUGGAUCCGCGCUGCAUUAGCUAGUUGGUAAGGUAACGGCUUACCAAGGCAACGAUGCAUAGCCGACCUGAGAGGGUGAUCGGCCACACUGGAACUGAGACACGGUCCAGACUCCUACGGGAGGCAGCAGUAGGGAAUCUUCCGCAAUGGGCGAAAGCCUGACGGAGCAACGCCGCGUGAGUGAUGAAGGUCUUCGGAUCGUAAAACUCUGUUAUUAGGGAAGAACAUAUGUGUAAGUAACUGUGCACAUCUUGACGGUACCUAAUCAGAAAGCCACGGCUAACUACGUG